GCGGCGGGUAGGACCGGGAGCUAGCCCUUCCCCUUGCCUUCAAACGGGCUAUAGGAGGGGUCAGUAACCUCGGUGUGAUGGGGUGAAGCCUGCGGGUAAGACGUGCGGCUCUCCGUCGAGGGCUUGUCCCGCGGGGUCGGCGGUUGUUCUCUGCGCCCUCGUAGGGGGGCGUGGGGGCUGUAGUCGGGUGAACCGGUGAGGCCCGGGAGGGAGCGGCCUAAGCCUGGACGUUUGGCGCUCGCGGGGUCCCGAGCCUGAGGGGGGUCGUGCGCCCCUGUCCGUGGGUGAGCCCUUGAGCCCUGGGGGGCCGUCGC
rnacentral:SRP_RNA from 1 species